UACGUAGGGGGCAAGCGUUGUCCGGAUUUACUGGGCGUAAAGGGCGCGUAGGCGGCCUGUUAAGUCGAACGUGAAAUCCCUGGGCUCAACCCAGGAACUGCGUCCGAUACUGGCAGGCUUGAAUUCGGGAGAGGGAUGCGGAAUUCCAGGUGUAGCGGUGAAAUGCGUAGAUAUCUGGAGGAACACCGGUGGCGAAGGCGGCAUCCUGGACCGAUAUUGACGCUGAGGCGCGAAAGCCAGGGGAGCAAACGGG
rnacentral:rRNA from 1 species